ensembl:lncRNA
CUGAUCUGUGUGCAUGAACUCAGGAUGAAGAUCCUCCUCAUCUUCACCCUCUGUCUGAUCUCAGAUGGAGGAGACUCCAAGGAAGUAACAGGAUAUUCAGGAGGAGGAGUCCUUAUCAAGUGCAAGUAUGAUACAGAAUACACACAAAAACAAAAAUAUUUCUGUAAGGGUUCAGGGCCAUCCUGUUCUGACCAAAUAAAGUCAGGAGCUAAAAACGAGUGGAUAAAUUCAGGAAGAUUCUCACUGUUUGAUGACCCCAAAUCAGCAGAGUUCAGUGUGAUGAUCAGAGAGCUCACUGUACAGGACUCUGGGACGUACCAGUGUGGAGUUGAUUUACCCAGUGUGAAAGACAUUUACACACCGGUGGAACUGAAGGUAAAGAAAGGGUCCUCGGUCUCUAGAGAAGUGACUGCAUAUGCCGGGACAAGAAGCAACAUCAAGUGUAGCUAUGACGAUGAGUACAAAGAGAAACCCAAAUCUUUCUGUAAGAUAGGAACACACCAGUGGUGUUUUAAUCAAAUAA